rnacentral:rRNA from 4 species
UUUUAAAUGAAGACCUGUAUGAAUGGCAUAACGAGGGCUCAACUGUCUCCUUUUUCCAGUCAGUGAAAUUGACCUGCUCGUGCAGAGGCGAGCAUAACCCCAUAAGACGAGAAGACCCUAUGGAGUUAAAACACAAGAUCAACUAUG